ensembl:lncRNA
GGCAGGCAGUAGAGCAGAGCACCCACUCUGGAUUCACACGAACCUGGAACCAGAUCCCGGCCAAAGCCCUGGGGUCUGUUUCCACAUCAGCCUCCCAUCUGGACUGUGAGUUUCUUGGGGGCAGAAACCUGUCUUAUUCAUCCUCUGUCUCCAGCCUCAUGUGUCCAGGGGAUUCACAGCAUCCUAAGGGCAGGAACUCCAACUUAACACAUCUGUUCCUCCGUCAAUGCCUGGCACAGGACGGCUCAGACCUCACACAGAGAGCACAGCAAGGAAAUGUCUGUCAGAUUGAAUUGGUCUAGUGAGGAAAUUGAUGCACCAAGAAGAUACCCCAUGUGUAAACUGUAACUUCGUAAACUGCCUGGGACUUCAGCACAAAAAUAUGAAUUUCCUCCAUUGCAGGACCAAUGAGGCAAUAAACUUCAGCUGGAAAGGCAUGAGCACUUCUUGCUGA